GAUGAACGCUGGCGGCGUGCCUAACACAUGCAAGUCGAACGAAGCUUGACGGAUGAUUUCUUCGGAAUGAAACCAGAUAUGACUUAGUGGCGGACGGGUGAGUAACACGUGAGCAACCUGCCUUUCAGAGGGGGAUAACGGCUGGAAACGGUCGCUAAUACCGCAUGAUGUGUUCGGAUGGCAUCAUCUUAACAUCAAAGAUUUAUCGCUGAAAGAUGGGCUCGGGUCUGAUUAGAUAGUUGGUGGGGUAACGGCCUACCAAGUCUACGAUCAGUAGCCGGACUGAGAGGUGGCACGGCCACAUUGGGACUGAGAUACGGCACAGACGCCUACGGGAGGCAGCAGUGGAGAAUAUUGCAGCAUGGGGGAAACCCUGAUGCAGCACCGCCGCGUGAAGGAUGCUGGUUUUCGGAUUGUAAACAUCUUUACUUAGCGACGAAGACAGUGACGGUAGCUAAGGAAUAAGCAUCGGCUAACUACGUG
rnacentral:rRNA from 1 species